UACGUAGGGUGCAAGCGUUAAUCGGAAUUACUGGGCGUAAAGCGUGCGCAGGCGGUUUUGUAAGCCAGAUGUGAAAGCCCCGGGCUUAACCUGGGAAUGGCAUUUGGGACUGCAAGGCUUGAGUGCGGCAGAGGAGACUGGAAUUCCUGGUGUAGCAGUGAAAUGCGUAGAUAUCAGGAGGAAUACCGAUGGCGAAGGCAGCCUUCUGGCCUAAUACUGACGCUGAGGUGCGAAAGCAUGGGGAGCAAACAGG
rnacentral:rRNA from 1 species